rnacentral:rRNA from 1 species
UACAGAGGGGGCAAGCGUUAUUCGGAAUUAUUGGGCGUAAAGGGCGCGUAGGCGGCUUUGCAAGUGGCGGGUGAAAUCCCUCGGCUUAACCGAGGAACUGCCUGUCAGACUGCAUGGCUUGAGACCAGGAGAGGUGAGUGGAAUUCCCAGUGUAGCGGUGAAAUGCGUAGAUAUUGGGAGGAACACCAGUGGCGAAGGCGGCUCACUGGACUGGUACUGACGCUGAGGCGCGAAAGCGUGGGGAGCAAACAGG